rfam:Desulfuromonas soudanensis strain WTL chromosome, complete genome.
UCGGCCCGCUCCUCGGUCAGGGAAAUACAGAUCAGGCCCCGUCCUUCCCGGGCCAUGAAAUUGAUCGCUUCCGGGGUGACCAGCUCGGCGGCCAUGGUCA